rnacentral:rRNA from 1 species
GACGAACGCUGGCGGCGUGCUUAACACAUGCAAGUCGAACGGAAAGGCCUGCUUUCCCUUGUGGAUUGCGGGUACUCGAGUGGCGAACGGGUGAGUAACACGUGAGUGAUCUGCCCCCAACUUGGGUAUAAGCCUGGGAAACUGGGUCUAAUUCCCGAUAGGACUGCAGGGUGGUGCCUGUGGUGGAAAACGAUUUUCCAGUGGUUGGGGAUGAGCUCGCGGCCUAUCAGCUUGUUGGUGGGGUAAUGGCCUACCAAGGCGGCGACGGGUAGCCGGUCUGAGAGGGUGGACGGCCACAUUGGGACUGAGAUACGGCCCAGACUCCUACGGGAGGCAGCAGUGGGGAAUAUUGCACAAUGGGCGGAAGCCUGAUGCAGCGACGCCGCGUGGGGGAUGACGGCCUUCGGGUUGUAAACUCCUUUCGACCGCGAGGAAGCCACCUGGUUGGAAGGGUGGUGACGGUAGUGGUAGAAGAAGCACCGGCUAACUACGUG